CGUAGGGGCGAGCGUUGUCCGGAAUUACUGGGCGUAAAGGGUGCGUAGGCGGCCCUUUAAGUCGGAUGUGAAAGCCCGCGGCUUAACCGCGGAAUGGCAUUCGAAACUGGAGGGCUUGAGUGUCGGAGAGGGUAGUGGAAUUCCCAGUGUAGCGGUGAAAUGCGUAGAUAUUGGGAGGAACACCAGUGGCGAAGGCGACUACCUGGACGAUAACUGACGCUGAGGCACGAAAGCUAGGGGAGCAAAACAGGAUU
rnacentral:rRNA from 1 species